GGGCCCUGGAGGGGAGGUGGAUGUCAGGGAACUGCCAUCGGACGGAAGGGAGGUGAAAGGGCUCACACAGGUUGGGAGAGACGCAGCAGCUGAAGAGGAAACCAACAGGGAGGUGAAAGGGCUCACACAGGUGGGGAGAGCACGCAGCAGCUGAAGAGGAAACCAACAGGGAGGUGAAAGGGCUCACACAGGUUGGGAGAGACGCAGCAGCUGAUGAGGGAACCAGCAGGGGGAGAGGAGCUGAGCUGGAGGGAUGGCUCAGAGACACUUCCAGCGAAAACAGUGGAGAGGUUUCAGGACCUCCUGUAAGAACACCCACUCCUCGCCGGAAACUGUCACGCAGAGAUUCCAGAAGACGUGUUUCCGUUAAGGAGCUUUUAUGUUGGAAGCGAUUACGAAAGCAACCACUGU